CUACGGGAGGCAGCAGUGGGGAAUAUUGGACAAUGGGGGAAACCCUGAUCCAGCAAUGCCGCGUGUGUGAAGAAGGCCUUAGGGUUGUAAAGCACUUUCAGUAGUGAGGAAAAGUUUAAGGCUAAUACCCUUGAACCCUGACGUUAACUACAGAAGAAGCACCGGCUAACUUCGUGCCAGCAGCCGCGGUAAUACGAAGGGUGCAAGCGUUAAUCGGAUUUACUGGGCGUAAAGCGCGCGUAGGCGGUUUGAUAAGUCGGAUGUGAAAGCCCCGGGCUCAACCUGGGAAUUGCAUUCGAUACUGUCAGGCUAGAGUAUGGUAGAGGGAAGUGGAAUUCCACAUGUAGCGGUGAAAUGCGUAGAUAUGUGGAGGAACACCAGUGGCGAAGGCGACUUCCUGGCCCAAUACUGACGCUGAGGUGCGAAAGCGUGGGGAGCAAACAGGAUUAGAUACCCUAGUAGUC
rnacentral:rRNA from 1 species